rnacentral:rRNA from 1 species
AUUGAACGCUGGCGGCAUGCUUUGCACAUGCCAGUCGAACGGCAGCGCGGGCUUCGGCCUGGCGGCGAGUGGCGAACGGGUGAGUAAUACAUCGGAACGUGCCCAGUAGUGGGGGAUAGCUCGGCGAAAGCCGGAUUAAUACCGCAUACGACCUGAGGGUGAAAGCGGGGGAUCUUCGGACCUCGCGCUAUUGGAGCGGCCGAUGGCAGAUUAGCUAGUUGGUAGGGUAAAGGCCUACCAAGGCGACGAUCUGUAGCUGGUCUGAGAGGACGACCAGCCACACUGGGACUGAGACACGGCCCAGACUCCUACGGGAGGCAGCAGUGGGGAAUUUUGGACAAUGGGCGAAAGCCUGAUCCAGCAAUGCCGCGUGUGUGAUGAAGGCCUGCGGGUUGUAAAGCACUUUUGGCGGGAACGAAAAGGACUGUGCCAAUACCACGGUUCGAUGACGGUACCCGCAGAAUAAGCACCGGCUAACUACGU